rnacentral:tRNA from 1 species
GCAUGGGUUAACUCAGUGGUUACGGCAUUGGUCUCGUAACCUAAAGGUCGCAGGAUCGAAUCCCGCUAGAGGCU